CUUAUGGAUGAACAAAGAAAGUGGCUUCUUGAGAUGGAAUCUACUCCUGGUGAAGAUGCUCUGAUGA
rnacentral:pre_miRNA from 1 species